rnacentral:rRNA from 1 species
GCUGACCUUAGUACGAGAGGACCGGGUUGGACUAGCCUCUAGUGAAUCUGUUGUUCCGCCAGGGGCAUUGCAGAGUAGCUACGCUGGGAAUAGAUAAGCGCUGAAAGCAUCUAAGUGCGAAACUAGCCACGAGAUGAGAGUUCCAUAUAGGACCGUAGGAGACUACUACGUCGAUAGGCUACAGAUGUAAAGGUGGCGACACCAUAGUCGAGUAGUACUAAUCAUCCGAGGCUUUCAAA